UACGUAGGUGGCAAGCGUUGUCCGGAUUUACUGGGCGUAAAGAGCGCGCAGGCGGUCGAGUAAGUCGAAUGUGAAAGCCCCCAGGCUUAACUGGGGAGGGUCAUUCGAUACUGUUCGACUUGAAGGCAGGAGAGGGCAGCAGAAUUCCGGUGUAGUGGUGAAAUGCGUAGAUAUCGGGAGGAAUACCAGUGGCGAAGGCGGCUGCCUGGCCUGUUCUUGACGCUGAGGCGCGAAAGCUGGGGGAGCAAACGGG
rnacentral:rRNA from 1 species